UUUUUCCCUUAGGGGAACCUGGGGAGGGAUCAUUACCGAGUUUACAACUCCCAAACCCCUGUGAACAUACCACUUGUUGCCUCGGCGGAUCAGCCCCGCUCCCGGUAAAACGGGACGGCCCGCCAGAGGACCCCUAAACUCUGUUUCUAUAUGUAACUUCUGAGUAAAACCAUAAAUAAAUCAAAACUUUCAACAACGGAUCUCUUGGUUCUGGCAUCGAUGAAGAACGCAGCAAAAUGCGAUAAGUAAUGUGAAUUGCAGAAUUCAGUGAAUCAUCGAAUCUUUGAACGCACAUUGCGCCCGCCAGUAUUCUGGCGGGCAUGCCUGUUCGAGCGUCAUUUCAACCCUCAAGCACAGCUUGGUGUUGGGACUCGCGUUAAUUCGCGUUCCCCAAAUUGAUUGGCGGUCACGUCGAGCUUCCAUAGCGUAGUAGUAAAACCCUCGUUACUGGUAAUCGUCGCGGCCACGCCGUUAAACCCCAACUUUCUGAAUGUUGACCUCGGAUCAGGUAGGAAUACCCGUGACUA
rnacentral:rRNA from 1 species